AGAGUUUGAUCCUGGCUCAGGACAAACGCUGGCGGCGUACCUAACACAUGCAAGUCGAACGGGGACUUCCGCUUCGGCGGGAGAUUCUAGUGGCGAACGGGUGAGUAACACGUAGGAACCUGUCACGCAGUGGGGGAUAACGCUGGGAAACCGGCGCUAAUACCGCAUGAGGUUGUCGUGGGAGACCAGGGCAAAGAAAGCAGCAAUGCGCUGGGUGAGGGGCCUGCGUCCGAUUAGCUAGUUGGUGGGGUAAAGGCUUACCAAGGCGACGAUCGGUAGCUGGUCUGAGAGGAUGGUCAGCCACACUGGGACUGAGACACGGCCCAWACUCCUACGGGAGGCAGCAGUUAGGAAAUUUUCGCAAUGGGGGAAACCCUGACGGAGUAACGCCGCGUGGAGGAUGACGGCCUUCGGGUUGUAAACUCCUUUUCUGUGGGAAGAGUAGCAGACGGUACCACAGGAAGAAGCCUCGGCUAACUACGUGCCAGCAGCCGCGGUAAUACGUAGGAGGCGAGCGUUGUCCGGAAUUACUGGGCGUAAAGAGCGCGUAGGCGGCACUGUACGACCGAUGUGAAAGCCCCCGGCUCAACUGGGGAGGGUCAUUGGUAACGGCAGAGCUAUUGAGUACAGGAGAGGGAAGUGGAACUCCGGGAGUAGCGGUGAAAUGCGUAGAUACCCGGAGGAAUACCAGUGGCGAAGGCGGCUUCCUGGUCUGUGACUGACGCUGAGGCGCGAAAGCUAGGGGAGCGAACGGGAUUAGAUACCCCGGUAGUCC
rnacentral:rRNA from 1 species